AAUAAUUUAGUUUACACAAAACACUUGAUUGUCAAUCAAGAAAAACUAUCAACAUAGUAAUUAUU
rnacentral:tRNA from 1 species